rnacentral:rRNA from 1 species
CCUACGGGAGGCAGCAGUGAGGAAUAUUGGUCAAUGGACGAGAGUCUGAACCAGCCAAGUAGCGUGAAGGAUGACUGCCCUAUGGGUUGUAAACUUCUUUUAUAUGGGAAUAAAAUGUUCCACGUGUGGGAUUUUGUAUGUACCAUAUGAAUAAGGAUCGGCUAACUCCGUGCCAGCAGCCGCGGUAAUACGGCGGAUCCGAGCGUUAUCCGGAUGUAUUGGGUGUAAAGGGAGCGUAGGUGGAUUGUUAAGUCAGUGGUGAAAGUUUGCGGCUCAACCGUAAAAUUGCAGUUGAAACUGGCAGUCUUGAGUACAGGAGAGGUAGGCGGAAUUCGUGGUGUAGCGGUGAAAUGCUUAGAUAUCACGAAGAACUCCGAUUGCGAAGGCAGCUCACUGGACUGCAACUGACACUGAGGCUCGAAAGUGUGGGUAUCAAACAGGAUUAGAUACCCUAGUAGUC